rnacentral:rRNA from 1 species
UACAGAGGGGGCAAGCGUUGUUCGGAAUUACUGGGCGUAAAGAGCUCGUAGGUGGUUUGUCGCGUUGUUCGUGAAAACUCACAGCUCAACUGUGGGCGUGCGGGCGAUACGGGCAGACUGGAGUACUGCAGGGGAGACUGGAAUUUACGGUGUAGCGGUGAAAUGCGUAGAUAUCGUAAGGAAGACCAGUGGCGAAGGCGGGUCUCUGGACAGUUCCUGACGCUGAGGCACGAAGGCCAGGGGAGCAAACGGG